AGGGCACUGGGUGAAGGUCCAAUGUAUCAGUGCACACGGGGGAGUGGGGCGGGGAAUUAUCUCACCACCUACGUACGGGAGCCCGAACAAAAGGCUCUGGCCAUUUUAUGGACCCAGGGGUGGGGAUGGGGGUGAGCUGGAGAGGGGAGGACUAGGUGUGGGAAACAGUGAAUAUUGAGUCAGAGAGAAAAAAGAGGCUUCAAGUGUCCUCCCCAGUGAGGAGGCCUCCGCAGAAUGACCCGAUGAAGAGACCUCCUCUCUCUGAAUGCAGGGAGGGCUAGAGAUGCAGAUAUGCAUAAGCGCAUGGUGCUGAGGAUGGAGUGACUGAGCCCUUGACUGCAGCUCCCUUCAGAGACUGCAGUUUACUGGCUGCACACAGUCUGGUGUGGGGAGGACAAUUUUUCCCUGUGAAGCCUGCCAGGAUAUAAAGAUGUUUAAUUGGACAACCUUAUUCAUUCAGCUGUGACUUGCAGAAGGAUCUGAGCAGGUGCUGAGAUGUCUAUGCAGGCAAGUCUGAGGUUAGCCUCCCAGAGUUUCGGGGAAAAGCACACAGGCAUUCCUGAACACUCUGAGAGGUGCAGAAAAGUGGCUGAGCAGACAGACACAAGGUCUGGCAUGGAGGCAGAGGAUCACAGCGGAGCAUGGACCUAACAGCUGGAUGCCGUGUGGUGAUAUCACUAUCAGCAGAAGAUGCAACAAGACCGGGGCCACUGCUCAAGGCCAGAGAAACAGGUUCAUGGAAAACCAGUUUAGCAUCACUAACAAGCCACCUUACGGGUGUAGAUAAAGGACUGGCGCCACAACGUCUAUAUGGACUAAACUUUUCAUUUUCAUCACUUUUUGCUUUUGACACCUCCUCCUGCAUGAGGGACAACACCAUUCAGCUGUUGGGAGACAACUGUCCUCGAGUCUCAUGUGUUCCUGCAUUUGUUGUGAGGAGAGGCUCUAACGAUCUUUGCUUCAGACUAUCUUUCCAAGGAUAUUCGUAUGGUGAACAGCACUGAAGGGUAGAGAUGGUGUCUCCCACCAGAGCAGAGGAGAAAUUUGUCUUCUGGCCAGUGUAAUAUAGAUACCUUCCUAGAGGGAAAAGGGUGGGCCUAUUUGCCUGCACCCCAUUAGAAAAGACUGGAUUUUAUACGCUCUGGGUUCCUUGGCUCUUCAUCAUCCUUGUGGGAUUUGUGGGCAUGGAGAACUGAGAACUGGUGCACUCAUGAAGGUUAUGAAGAUCAUGCUGUCUUGUAUUCCAUAAGUGAUAAAGUUCUUUGUCACCAACCCAGAAGUGUUCUGUCUUUUGCCAGAAUCUAUUAAGCUGAGGCGGGCUA
rnacentral:lncRNA from 10 species